rnacentral:rRNA from 1 species
GACGAACGCUGGCGGCGUGCCUAAUACAUGCCGGUUGAGCGCUGAAGGUUGGUACUUGUACCAACUGGAUGAGCAGCGAACGGGUGAGUAACGCGUGGGGAAUCUGCCUUUGAGCGGGGGACAACAUUUGGAAACGAAUGCUAAUACCGCAUAAAAACUUUAAACACAAGUUUUAAGUUUGAAAGAUGCAAUUGCAUCACUCAAAGAUGAUCCCGCGUUGUAUUAGCUAGUUGGUGAGGUAAAGGCUCACCAAGGCGAUGAUACAUAGCCGACCUGAGAGGGUGAUCGGCCACAUUGGGACUGAGACACGGCCCAAACUCCUACGGGAGGCAGCAGUAGGGAAUCUUCGGCAAUGGACGAAAGUCUGACCGAGCAACGCCGCGGGAGUGAAGAAGGUUUUCGGAUCGUAAAACUCUGUUGGUAGAGAAGAACGUUGGUGAGAGUGGAAAGCUCAUCAAGUGACGGUAACUACCCAGAAAGGGACGGCUAACUACGUG